rnacentral:rRNA from 1 species
ACGAACGCUGGCGGCACGCUUAACACAUGCAAGUCGAACGAGAGAAGAGAAGCUUGCUUUUCUGAUCUAGUGGCGGACGGGUGAGUAACACGUGAGCAAUCUGCCUUUCAGAGGGGGAUACCGAUUGGAAACGAUCGUUAAUACCGCAUAACAUAAUUGAACCGCAUGAUUUGAUUAUCAAAGAUUUAUCGCUGAAAGAUGAGCUCGCGUCUGAUUAGCUAGUUGGUAAGGUAACGGCUUACCAAGGCGACGAUCAGUAGCCGGACUGAGAGGUUGAUCGGCCACAUUGGGACUGAGACACGGCCCAGACUCCUACGGGAGGCAGCAGUGGGGAAUAUUGCACAAUGGAGGAAACUCUGAUGCAGCGAUGCCGCGUGAGGGAAGAAGGUUUUAGGAUUGUAAACCUCUGUCUUCAGGGACGAAAAAAGACGGUACCUGAGGAGGAAGCUCCGGCUAACUACGUGCCAGCAGCCGCGGUAAUACGUAGGGAGCGAGCGUUGUCCGGAAUUACUGGGUGUAAAGGGAGCGUAGGCGGGAUCGCAAGUCAGAUGUGAAAACUAUGGGCUUAACCCAUAAACUGCAUUUGAAACUGUGGUUCUUGAGUGAAGUAGAGGUAAGCGGAAUUCCUAGUGUAGCGGUGAAAUGCGUAGAUAUUAGGAGGAACAUCAGUGGCGAAGGCGGCUUACUGGGCUUUAACUGACGCUGAGGCUCGAAAGCGUGGGGAGCAAACAGGAUUAGAUACCCUGGUAGUCCACACUGUAAACGAUGAAUGCUAGGUGUUGGAGGGUUUCCGCCCUUCAGUGCCGCAGCUAACGCAAUAAGCAUUCCGCCUGGGGAGUACGACCGCAAGGUUGAAACUCAAAGGAAUUGACGGGGGCCCGCACAAGCAGUGGAGUAUGUGGAUUAAUUCGAAGCAACGCGAAGAACCUUACCAGGUCUUGACAUCGUAUGCAUAGCUCAGAGAUGAGUGAAAUCUCUUCGGAGACAUAUAGACAGGUGGUGCAUGGUUGUCGUCAGCUCGUGUCGUGAGAUGUUGGGUUAAGUCCCGCAACGAGCGCAACCCUUACUGUUAGUUGCUACGCAAGAGCACUCUAGCAGGACUGCCGUUGACAAAACGGAGGAAGGUGGGGAUGACGUCAAAUCAUCAUGCCCCUUAUGACCUGGGCCUCACACGUACUACAAUGGCUGUCAACAGAGGGAAGCAAAGCCGCGAGGUGGAGCAAACCCCUAAAAGCAGUCUUAGUUCGGAUUGUAGGCUGCAACCCGCCUACAUGAAGUCGGAAUUGCUAGUAAUCGCAGAUCAGCAUGCUGCGGUGAAUACGUUCCCGGGCCUUGUACACACCGCCCGUCACGCCAUGGGAGUCGGUAACACCCGAAGCCUGUAGUCUAACCGCAAGGAGGACGCAGUCGAAGGUGGGAUUGAUGACUGGGGUG